rnacentral:rRNA from 1 species
CACGGGGGGAGCAAGCGUUGUUCGGAAUCACUGGGCGUAAAGGGCGUGUAGGCGGUCAGGUAAGUGAGAUGUGAAAUGCCCCGGCUCACCCGGGGACCGGCAUCUCAUACUGCUUGGCUUGAGUACGGGAGAGGAUGUGGGAAUUCCUGGUGUAGCGGUGAAAUGCGUAGAUAUCAGGAGGAACACCAAUGGCGAAGGCAGCUCGCUGGGACGUGACUGACGCUGAGACGCGAAAGCGUGGGGAGCAAACAGG